rnacentral:rRNA from 1 species
GACGAACGCUGGCGGCGUGCUUAACACAUGCAAGUCGAACGGAAAGGCCCUGCUUUUGUGGGGUGCUCGAGUGGCGAACGGGUGAGUAACACGUGAGUAACCUGCCCUUGACUUUGGGAUAACUUCAGGAAACUGGGGCUAAUACCGGAUAGGAGCUCCUGCUGCAUGGUGGGGGUUGGAAAGUUUCGGCGGUUGGGGAUGGACUCGCGGCUUAUCAGCUUGUUGGUGGGGUAGUGGCUUACCAAGGCUUUGACGGGUAGCCGGCCUGAGAGGGUGACCGGCCACAUUGCGACUGAGAUACGGCCCAGACUCCUACGGGAAGCAGCAGUGGGGAAUAUUGCACAAUGGGCGGAAGCCUGAUGCAGCAACGCCGCGUGCGGGAUGACGGCAUUCGGGUUGUAAACCGCUUUCGCCUGUGACGAAGCGUGAGUGACGGUAAUGGGUAAAGAAGCACCGGCUAACUACGUG